AAAUAGUGGCUAGUCUGCUUCUUUAGAAAAGAAAAGCUCACUUUAGUUGGUCUAUUGUGUAAAACACGCCCUGGCACAGUCUGACACAAACAAACUGAACAUUCAGCCAUUGUAGAGAGGCUACAGGAUUGCGCUUUGCUCUAGCUCCAACACACACACACACACACACACACACACAGAUACACAUGGACGUGUCUUUUUGAGUAAUGUUAGCUAAAUCAUGAAGAUAAAUCAGCAUUAAAUUUCCAUCAGUGUAAAUCAGUAUUUUUGUUGUUUUUGUCUGUCGUCUCAGAAAAAGGGUGGAUCUGAGAACUGUAAGACCUUUUAUGAAUCACUACAUCACUAUGAAGAGAGCGUUUAUACUCUUUCUGUUCCCGUAUUUGUGGUCGGUGUGUUCGUGAGUCUGUGUCAGUGAAGGAAAGGAGAUUCUGUCACUUUACACACACCGAUGUUACUGAAAUAAAGACAGAUGAAGAAAUCGAAUGGAGGUUUAACAGCAGUCGCAUAGCUAGAAUGAUUAGGAACGAUGCUGUUUAUGACAAUGACGUUGAAAUUCAGAGACAGACUGAAGAUGGACAUUCAGACCGGAGAUCUCAAGAUCACAGACUUCAGAAUCACAGACUCAGGACUUUAUAAGCUUGAGAUCAACAGCCCCAGAGUGUCCUCGGAGAUGAAAUUCAGUGUCAGCUGUGUGACUUACUCUGGAGUGAAUUCAGUGUCAGUGCUGGAGGGAGAUUCAGUCAUUCUACACACUGAUGUUUCUCGAGAUCCAGAGCGACGAUGUGAUACAGUGGAGGUUUGAACAUCAAACCCUCCUGUA